rnacentral:lncRNA from 1 species
AUGGCAAAAAGACAAAAAAAGAAAAAAAAGAAUGUGAAGCACCCAAGGACUAGCGAGAGUGAGGAAACUUUACCACACCUAGGUCUCAAGAGGCAAGAGGAGGAACAGAUUCCAGACCUCAGAGAAAAAGGAUAUCCCUUAGAGGAGAGGACUGUCACUGGAGCCCAUAGGAUGCAGGUGUUGAAGUUACCUGCCAGCCAGGCAGCCUUCUGUCUCCAGGUUCUGGGGUCCCUCGUCAGUGGGAGUGGAUAGCAGGCUUAAACUCACAGGACACAGUGGAGGGCAAGCUAACUAGGUGGACCGCAGAGACCCACAGGUGUCCUGCCUUUAAGCACUGAGACCUUGGCUGCUAGGUAAUCGCCUCAAGAUCCACCCAGGGAUUUCCCAUCUAACUUAAUGGGACAAAAUUUAGGAAUAAAGAGAACAGACCCUCACA